rnacentral:lncRNA from 1 species
GCCUAACUCCAAAAAGAACUGAGGAAGUCUGCAAGAAUUCACACAGUAUAAUAAUAUGAUUUAAAAUCUAUAAAUACAUCAAGAAACCAAGGUGAUGGGAAAGAAAAAGUUGAAACAGUAAGAUGAGACCAGAGGGGAAGUUAGUUAUUAAAAAUAUAGGCUGCAAAGUCUUCAAUAAGUAUUUGCCUUUGUAGGAAUGGAAGGAAUUACCUAUGUUAUGUGAUCCACUUCCCCAACUGGCUUUUGAAUCCCUCUCCAACGACUCUGCCAGCCUGUUUGUUCAGUAAGGCAUGUCUGGCCAUUGGAAUGUACAGACCCCAGAUCCACAAACUCAAAUGUAUCCAAGGGCCAGACAGGCAAGGAGAGGGAAUGAGGCAGGUUUGGCGGGGGUUGGUGCUGGGGUGGGGUGAGCAAAUGUGCAAUCCUUUACUCUAUAAAGUGUAAGGGGUGCUAUUGUUACCCUCCAGCCAAUUAUUUUCGAGUGGGGACAUUGGUGGAAUGUAGCCAGGUCUUUAGAUCUGGGCUUUUCAAGAGAAGCUGAAAAUCCUAAUUUUUAUGGGACAUCUCCUGGUUUUUAUUCAGUCUCAAUUUUGUAACACUGGGAAGGGCAAAUAAAACGCAACUGUGGGUAGAUGCUGCUCACAAUCAGUUUGUGAAUUCCAAAAAGGCCAAAGUCACAGGCUCUGAAGUUGAGUUAGAACAGGUUUGAAUUUGGCUCUGAGACCUUUUCACUGGAUAAUGGGAGGCUCAAUUCUCUUCUGUAAAAUGGGGCUUUUCAGGAAUACUUACCCAUAUUAUUGAAUGCUCUCCAAAAGCGUUUCUUUUUUUCCCCCUUCCCCUUCCCCUACAUACUGGGGAUUGAACCCAGAGGUGCUUUACCAGUGGGCUACAUCCGCAUCCACAGCUCCCCCUCCACACUCUUUGUGUGUGUGACAGAGUCUCCCGAGAUUUCUUAGGACCUCAGUGGCUAAGGCUGGCUGUGAACUUGGAAUCAUCCUGUCUGUCUCCAGAGCUGCUGAGAUUAUAGGCAUGUGCCACCAUACCUGGCAAAAAACAGCAUUUUCCAUGACGAUAUGGUGUUUCCCCUCACCAACAUUUCAACUCAGCUAUCCAUUCCCUAACGUUGGACAUAAUAUUUCCCUGUUGUAAACAAAACCGGGAUGAAUAUGCAUGCGCCUACAUCUUCGAGCAUAUUUCCCUGUUUCCUCAAAAUCUGUUCCUAGAUGUGGAAUGGGCUGAUUCAAAUGCUUAUUAAUCAUCAUGAUAAUUUUCCAUACAAUUUGUGCAGUUUCUCACUCCAUCAUCAGUGGGAUAAAAACACUCUUCUGUCUGUCCUUGCCAACACUGAUUUAUGCUUUGAAAAAAAUCUGUGAAUUUGAGACGUGAAUGAUGAUAAUAUGGGGCUGGGGAUGUGGCUCAAGCGGUAGCGCGUUCGCCUGCCAUGCGUGCGGCCCGGGUUCGAUCCUCAGCACCACAUACAAACAAAGAUGUGUCUG